AACGAACGCUGGCGGCAUGCCUAACACAUGCAAGUCGAACGAGACCUUCGGGUCUAGUGGCGCACGGGUGCGUAACGCGUGGGAAUCUGCCCUUCGGUUCGGAAUAACUCAGGGAAACUUGAGCUAAUACCGGAUAAUGACGUAAGUCCAAAGAUUUAUCGCCGAAGGAUGAGCCCGCGUAGGAUUAGCUUGUUGGUGGGGUAAUGGCCCACCAAGGCGACGAUCCUUAGCUGGUCUGAGAGGAUGAUCAGCCACACUGGGACUGAGACACGGCCCAGACUCCUACGGGAGGCAGCAGUGGGGAAUAUUGGACAAUGGGCGAAAGCCUGAUCCAGCAAUGCCGCGUGAGUGAUGAAGGCCUUAGGGUUGUAAAGCUCUUUUACCCGGGAUGAUAAUGACAGUACCGGGAGAAUAAGCUCCGGCUAACUACGUG
rnacentral:rRNA from 1 species